GACAUGCAGAGAACUUUCCAGAGAUGGAUUGGUGCCUUCGGGAACUCUGACACAGGUGCUGCAUGGCUGUCGUCAGCUCGUGUCGUGAGAUGUUGGGUUAAGUCCCGCAACGAGCGCAACCCUACGCUGAGUUACCAGCACGUAAAGGUGGGGACUCUCAGUGGACUGCCGGCGACAAGCCGGAGGAGGGUGGGGACGACGUCAAGUCAUCAUGGCCCUCAUGUCCAGGGCGACACACGUGCUACAAUGGCCGGCACAACGGGAAGCGACGGCGCGAGUCGUAGCGGAUCCCUCAAAGCCGGUCCCAGUUCGGAUUGCAGUCUGCAACUCGACUGCAUGAAGCCGGAAUCGCUAGUAAUCGUGGAUCAGCCAAGCCGCGGUGAAUACGUUCCCGGGCCUC
rnacentral:rRNA from 1 species